rnacentral:ncRNA from 1 species
AGAGGAGGCUGGGUUUUGCGAUCUUUAAGCAGAUGGCAGGUUCACCCCGUACGGUGCGGAAGUUCGCGCUUCCGUGAAACGCGAAAAUCGGACGGUGGCUGCAAGUCGCAUCGCAAAACCGCGGCAAGUGGAGUUAGCGAGAGGAGGCUGGGUUUUGGCUUCCUUAAGCAAUCGGUCACCGAGAAGGUGUGGUCGUUACCGUGAAAUUCCGGAUAGGUUCGAGGCCGUGGGCACUGACAUGAGCGCUAAUAGACAAAGCUUUUCGGAGCGGAGGAUAUGGAACGCGGCUUCGAGCGAGAUCGUGAAACUUCGCCGUCGGGCGAAGGGAAGCGAAGGUUCGACUGGAAGCCGAAAGGCGGAAAGUCGAGUUGUUGAAAAAUGACCUGAGAGCAAAAGGCGAGACCCGUAGAUCAGGACGAGCUGGAGUGGGCAACCACGAACGCGAGGACUGUGAAAACGGGGAGGCUGUGAGUAACAACGAUAACCUCCCCCGGUGAUUCGAUGGAGCGCCGCAAGGCGAGCCGAUGAAUUGCCGAGAAGCCUGGCUCGAAAUCGUCGACGCAUCGACGACGGUCCUGCCAUGAGACCGUAACGAGGACAUGUCGCCUCGAAUGGCGUCGGGGAGCCGGCAGCUUACCCCAAGGAUGAGCGCCUAAUGCCGGUACCCGGGAACGAGCGUGUGGCGAACGCC